rnacentral:rRNA from 1 species
UACGUCCUACGGGGGGCAGCAGUGGGGAAUAUUAGGCAAUGGGCGCAAGCCUGACCCAGCAACGCCGCGUGAAGGAAGAAGGCUUUCGGGUUGUAAACUUCUUUUGUCAGGGACGAAGCAAGUGACGGUACCUGACGAAUAAGCCACGGCUAACUACGUGCCAGCAGCCGCGGUAAUACGUAGGUGGCAAGCGUUAUCCGGAUUUACUGGGUGUAAAGGGCGUGUAGGCGGGACUGCAAGUCAGAUAUGAAAACCACGGGCUCAACCUGUGGCCUGCAUCUGCAACUGUAGUUCUUGAGUACUAG